UACGUAGGGUGCGAGCGUUGUCCGGAAUUAUUGGGCGUAAAGAGCUCGUAGGCGGUGUGUCACGUCGAUCGUGAAAACUUUCAGCUUAACUGGGAGCUUGCGGUCGAUACGGGCAUCACUGGAGUUCGGCAGGGGAGACUGGAAUUCAAGGUGUAGCGGUGAAAUGCGCAGAUAUCUUGAGGAACACCGGUGGCGAAGGCGGGUCUCUGGGCCGAUACUGACGCUGAGGAGCGAAAGCGUGGGGAGCGAACAGG
rnacentral:rRNA from 2 species